rnacentral:rRNA from 1 species
UGAAGAGUUUGAUCAUGGCUCAGAUUGAACGCUGGCGGCAGGCCUAACACAUGCAAGUCGAACGGUAACAGGAAGCAGCUUGCUGCUUCGCUGACGAGUGGCGGACGGGUGAGUAAUGUCUGGGAAACUGCCUGAUGGAGGGGGAUAACUACUGGAAACGGUAG